rnacentral:lncRNA from 1 species
AUUCAUCAACUACAUUCAUCAGAGGAAAGAUUUUGAAUGUUUUCUUUUAUCAACUGAUACAAUUAAUACACGAGAAAGGGAAAAAAGACAAACAAGGACAAAAUCCUAACAGAUACGCCCUGAUCAUCUAGGAAGUAGGAAGCAGAGAGGGGGGCGUUUUUNAGCAGAGCAAUUNGGUCCUCAAAGGGAGGAGGGAUAGUCAUUUGGAUGGGGGGAUUACCACGUUUUGGAUCCAUCUCCAACGCCUCACCAAAAAAGAGACCUUGUAGAGGGCAAGGGACCUCAUGGCUAGAAACAAGACAACCAUUUGCCUUCAACUUGGUUGCGAACCUUGGUGAGUGAACUUAACUUUCCGGUGCCUGCAAGAGUAUUCGGAAGCCAAAGAAAUUCAAUCGAAGAGAGCAAAGGGGACUCAAACCAAAAGAAAAAAAAAAGAACAUUGAAGCUGCGAAGGUAAGUCAUCCUACACCUAAGCUCUUUGGUCAUAUUCGGCUGUAUGCUCGUGUAUAUGCUUUCCUUGGAGAUGAAUG